rnacentral:rRNA from 1 species
CUACGGGCCGCACCAGUGGGGAAUUUUGGACAAUGGGCGCAAGCCUGAUCCAGCCAUUCCGCGUGAGUGAAGAAGGCCUUCGGGUUGUAAAGCUCUUUCGCAAGGGAAGAAAACUUAUCCUCUAACAUAGGGUGAGGUUGACGGUACCUUGAUAAGAAGCACCGGCUAACUACGUGCCAGCAGCCGCGGUAAUACGUAGGGUGCGAGCGUUAAUCGGAAUUACUGGGCGUAAAGCGUGCGCAGGCUGUUUUGUAAGUCAGAUGUGAAAUCCCCGAGCUCAACUUGGGAACUGCGUUUGAAACUACAAGACUAGGAUAUGUCAGAGGGGGGUAGAAUUCCAUGUGUAGCAGUGAAAUGCGUAGAGAUGUGGAGGAAUACCAAUGGCGAAGGCAGCCCCCUGGGAUAAUAUUGACGCUCAUGCACGAAAGCGUGGGGAGCAAACAGGAUUAGAUACCCCGGUAGUC